rnacentral:rRNA from 1 species
UACGGGAGGCAGCAGUGGGGAAUAUUGCACAAUGGGCGCAAGCCUGAUGCAGCCAUGCCGCGUGUAUGAAAAAGGCCUUCGGGUUGUAAAGUACUUUCAGUCGUGAGGAAGGUGUUAAGGUUAAUAACCUUAGCAAUUGACGUUAGCGACAGAAGAAGCACCGGCUAACUCCGUGCCAGCAGCCGCGGUAAUACGGAGGGUGCGAGCGUUAAUCGGAAUUACUGGGCGUAAAGGGCACGCAGGCGGUUAAUUAAGUUGGAUGUGAAAUCCCCGGGCUUAACCUGGGAAUGGCAUUCAAGACUGGUUAGCUAGAGUCUUGUAGAGGGGGUAGAAUUCCAUGUGUAGCGGCGAAAUGCGUAGAGAUGUGGAGGAAUACCGGUGGCGAAGGCGGCCCCUGGACAAAGGCUGACGCUCAUGUGCGAAAGCGUGGGGAGCAAAC